GGUUGUAGUUCAGUGGUAGAGCACUUGCUUAGAAUGUGUGAGGUCCUGGGUUCGAUCCUCAGCACCA
rnacentral:tRNA from 1 species